AUUGAACGCUGGCGGCAUGCUUUACACAUGCAAGUCGAACGGCAGCGCGGGCUUCGGCCUGGCGGCGAGUGGCGAACGGGUGAGUAAUGCAUCGGAACGUGCCCAGUAGUUGGGGAUAGCCCGGCGAAAGCCGGAUUAAUACCGCAUACGACCUGAGGGUGAAAGCGGGGGACCGAAAGGCCUCGCGCUAUUUGAGCGGCCGAUGUCGGAUUAGCUAGUUGGUGGGGUAAAGGCUUACCAAGGCGACGAUCCGUAGCUGGUCUUAGAGGACGACCAGCCACACUGGGACUGAGACACGGCCCAGACUCCUACGGGAGGCAGCAGUGGGGAAUUUUGGACAAUGGGGGCAACCCUGAUCCAGCCAUGCCGCGUGCGGGAAGAAGGCCUUCGGGUUGUAAACCGCUUUUGUUCGGGAAGAAAUCCUCUGGGCUAAUACCCCGGGGGGAUGACGGUACCGGAAGAAUAAGCACCGGCUAACUACGUG
rnacentral:rRNA from 1 species